AUGGACCCCACCAGACCUUGGGCGCAUCUUCACCUCCCCAGCGACCCAGAUGCCUCCUCCAUCUUCUGUGCAUCCACAUCCUGGUCCGUCGGCGACGGACGGACCUACCGCUUUUGGACGGAUCCUUGGAUCGAUGACAAGGCCAUCUCCGAGUUGGCUCCAUCCCUCCUUCCACUCGUGCCUCGUCGUCGGCGUAAGCGCACGAUGGAGGAAGGGCUUCAUGGCCGUAGCUGGGUGCCCGACCUCCGUGGCGCCUUGACACCAGGGGCUAUGACCGAGUAUGUGCAACUUUGGAGGUUACUCAGACCCAUCUCCCUCUCCAAUUCUCCAGACCGCCUGGUCUAG
rnacentral:rRNA from 1 species